rnacentral:rRNA from 1 species
AGUGAACGCUGGCGGUAGGCCUAACACAUGCAAGUCGAACGGCAGCACAGUAAGAGCUUGCUCUUACGGGUGGCGAGUGGCGGACGGGUGAGGAAUACAUCGGAAUCUACUUUUUCGUGGGGGAUAACGUAGGGAAACUUACGCUAAUACCGCAUACGACCUACGGGUGAAAGCAGGGGAUCUUCGGACCUUGCGCGAUUGAAUGAGCCGAUGUCGGAUUAGCUAGUUGGCGGGGUAAAGGCCCACCAAGGCGACGAUCCGUAGCUGGUCUGAGAGGAUGACUAGCCCCCCCGGGACUUGGAAACCGGCCCAGACCCCUAGGGGGGGCAGAGGUGGGAAAUUUUGGAAAAUGGGCGAAACCCUGAUCAAGCCACCCCGGGGGGGGGAAGAAGGCUUUCGGUUUGAAAACCCCUUUUGUUGGGAAAAAAAAGCAGGAGGUUAAUCCCCCGCUUUUUUGCGGGUCCCAAAAAAAAAAGCACCGGCUAACUUCGU